GACGAACGCUGGCGGCGUGCUUAACACAUGCAAGUCGAGCGGUAAGGCCCUUUCGGGGGUACACGAGCGGCGAACGGGUGAGUAACACGUGGGUGACCUGCCCUCAGCUCUGGGAUAAGCCUGGGAAACCGGGUCUAAUACUGGAUAUGACUCCAUGACGCAUGUUGUGGGGUGGAAAGCCUUGUGCGGCUGAGGAUGGGCCCGCGGCCUAUCAGCUUGUUGGUGGGGUGANGGCCUACCAAGGCGACGACGGGUAGCCGGCCUGAGAGGACGAUCAGCCACACUGGCACUGCGACACGGGCCAGACUCCUACGGGAGGCAGCAGUAAGGAAUAUUGCGCAAUGGACGACAGUCUGACGCAGCGACGCCGCGUGGGGACGAAGUCUC
rnacentral:rRNA from 1 species